CAAUAGCGUAUAUUAAAGUUGUUGCGGUUAAAAGCUCGUAGUUGGAUUUCUGCCUGAGGCAGCCGGUCCGCACUUAGUGCGUGUAUCUGGUUUGGUUUGGGCAUCCUCUUGGGGAUCGUUGCUGUGCUUAGUUGCAUGGUGCGGAAUUCAAGACGUUUACUUUGAGGAAAUUAGAGUGGUUACGGCAAGCUAUCGCUUUGAAUACAUUAGCAUGGAAUAAUAGAAUAGGACUUUGGUUCUAUUUUGUUGGUUUCUAGGACCGAAGUAAUGAUUAAUAGGGACAGUUGGGGGCAUUAGUAUUUAAUUGUCAGAGGUGAAAUUCUUGGAUUUAUGAAAGACUAACUACUGCGAAAGCAUUUGCCAAGGAUGUUUUCAUUAAUCAAGAACGAAAGUUAGGGGAUCGAAGACGAUCAGAUACCAU
rnacentral:rRNA from 1 species